rnacentral:lncRNA from 1 species
CCUUGCAUAAACACACAAUUCAAAUCUUUUUUAAAACAAAAUGUCAUAGAAAAGGCAUUAAGGAUUUUCAAGGCAAGACUCUUUGGAGGAUAGCAUGUCUCUCCUUGUUGUGGAUUGUGUGGAGAGAGAGGAACGCUAGGAUUUUCGAGGAUACUUGGAGGACGCCAAAGUUGAUGUGGGAUUUCGCUUCAGUUCUAUGUUUCUUUUUGGACUUAUCGUAUAGACAUUUUUAAACCAUAUCCUUUAAGUGUAAUUCAAGUUAGUUGGUUGUUGAUUUGUACACCCUAGGGUUGGGUCUACAGGGUCUAGGUUUGUUAUAUGUGUAUAGGUCAUUUGUCCUUUUUGUAUAACCCUCCUUGUUUAGUGGAGGUUUACUCAAUUUUUGGUCAAGUUUGUACAUCCAUCUCAUGUUUGUCUCUUUUAAUACAAUUGUUCAUUUGGGUCUACAGGGUCUGGGUUAGUUAUAUGUGUAUAGGUCAUUUGUCCUUUUUGUAUAACCCUCCUUGUUUAGUGGAGGUUUACUCAAUUUUUGGUCAGGUUUGUACAUCCAUCUCAUGUUUGUCUCUUUUAAUACAAUUGUUC